rnacentral:rRNA from 1 species
AUGGCGGAGACGGUCACCAAUGUAUCGGAGUACCAGGCCAUCGCGAAGCAGAAGCUUCCCAAGAUGGCCUACGACUACUACGCAUCCGGGGCGGAGGACGAGUGGACCCUCAAGGAGAACAGGGAGGCAUUCUCCAGGAUCUUGUUUCGCCCUCGCAUACUGAUUGACGUGUCGACCAUCGACAUGACCACAUCCGUCCUGGGAAUGAAGAUAUCCAUGCCCAUCAUGAUUUCCCCCACCGCCUUUCAGAAGAUGGCUCACCCGGAAGGAGAGUACGCAACUGCACGGGCAGCGUCAGCAGCAGGAACUGUGAUGACGCUGUCAUCGUGGGCUACCUCGAGCGUGGAGGAGGUGGCCUCGACUGGGCCGGGGAUCCGCUUCUUCCAGCUCUACGUGUACAAGGACAGGAAGGUGGUGGAGCAGCUGGUGAGGAGGGCGGAGAAGGCCGGGUUCAAGGCCAUCGCGCUCACCGUCGACACCCCGCGCCUCGGCCGCCGCGAGGCCGACAUCAAGAACAGGUUCGUGCUGCCGCCGGGCCUCACGCUCAAGAACUUCGAGGGCCUCAACCUCGGCACCAUGGACCAGGCCAAUGACUCCGGGCUGGCGUCGUACGUCGCCGGCCAAAUCGACCGCACCCUGAGCUGGAAGGACGUCAAGUGGCUGCAGAGCAUCACCACCAUGCCCAUCCUCGUCAAGGGAGUCAUCACCGCGGAAGACGCUCGGCUGGCCGUCCACUCCGGCGCGGCCGGCAUCAUCGUGUCCAACCACGGCGCCCGCCAGCUCGACUACGUGCCGGCCACCAUCAGCGCCCUCGAGGAGGUCGUCACGGCCGCCCAGGGGCGCAUCCCGGUGUACCUCGACGGAGGCGUCCGCCGCGGCACCGACGUCUUCAAGGCGCUCGCUCUCGGCGCCUCCGGCGUCUUCAUCGGGCGGCCGGUGGUGUUCGCGCUGGCGGCGGAGGGCGAGGCCGGAGUGCGGAACGUGCUGCGCAUGAUGCGGGAGGAGUUCGAGCUCACCAUGGCGCUCGGCGGGUGCACCAAGCUCAGCGACAUCACCCGCAACCACAUCUUCACCGAGGGCGACCGCCUCGGGCGCCCCCUGCCGAGGAUGUGA